rnacentral:rRNA from 1 species
UGCCUUAGUAACUGCGAGUGAAGCGGCAAAAGCUCAAAUUUGAAAUCGGUGUCCAUAAAGUACAUCGAGUUGUAAUUUGGAGGGACAACUUCGGGCCGAACCACACCGUAAGUUUUUUGGAACAGGACAUCAUAGAGGGUGAGAAUCCCGUGUCUUGGUGUAGGGUCAAACCAUGUGAAGUGUCUCCGACGAGUCGAGUUGUUUGGGAAUGCAGCUCAAAAUGGGUGGUAAAUUUCAUCUAAAGCUAAAUAUUGGCGAGAGACCGAUAGCGCACAAGUAGAGUGAUCGAAAGAUGAAAAGCACUUUGAAAAGAGAGUUAAAAAGUACGUGAAAUUGUUGAAAGGGAAGCGCUUGCGACCAGACUCGAUCUUUGGAGAUCAGCCGGGCUUCGGUUCGGUGCCCUCUUCAUUGAUUGGGCCAGCAUCGGUUCCGGCGGUGGGAUAAAAGGAGGAGGAAUGUGGCUCCCCUCGGGGAGUGUUAUAGCCACCUUCACAAUGCUACCAGUUGGGACCGAGGACCGCGCUUCGGCUAGGAUGCUGGUGUAAUGGUCUUAAGCGACCCGUCUUGAAACACGGACCAAGGAGUCUAACAUCUAUGCGAGUGUUCGGGUGGAAAACCCUUGCGCGUAAUGAAAGUGAACGGAGGUGUGAACCCUUUGCCGGGUGCAACAUCGACCGGUCCUGAUGUCUUCGGAAGGAUCUGAGUAAGAGCAUAGCUGUUGGGACCCGAAAGAUGGUGAACUAUGCCUG